UGUCAAGGGAUGGGAAUCGAAACCCACGACCUUCCGCUUACCGGGCAGAUGCCAUGACCACUAGGCUACCCUGGAC
rnacentral:tRNA from 1 species